CACGUAGGGCGCAAGCGUUGUCCGGAAUUAUUGGGCGUAAAGAGCUCGUAGGCGGUCUGUUGCGUCCGCUGUGAAAACCCGGGGCUCAACCCCGGGCCUGCAGCCGAUACGGGCAGGCUAGAGUUCGGUAGGGGAGACUGGAAUUCCUGGUGUAGCGGUGAAAUGCGCAGAUAUCAGGAGGAACACCGGUGGCGAAGGCGGGUCUCUGGGCCAGUUCUGACGCUGAGGAGCGAAAGCGUGGGGAGCGAACAGG
rnacentral:rRNA from 1 species